GGAUUUCGAUUACCUCAUCAUUGAAAGUGGUUAAAGCAUAGUUUGCCACCUCGCCUUUCUUGAUUUUCUCCUCGUCUUCGGAGGAGCUCGAUUCAUCCCAAUUCUUGUUCCUUUUUUUGCAUUCAAAGCAAGUAGUUUCAUUUUUUUUUUCUUUUUAAUUUUUGUUUCAUUUGUAGUUUAAGUUUACCAUCACUUGAGC
rnacentral:lncRNA from 1 species